rnacentral:tRNA from 1 species
GCUCAGAAGGUAAAGCGUCUGUCUACAAUGCAGGAGACCCAGGUUCAAUCCCUGG